GACGAACGCUGGCGGCGUGCUUAACACAUGCAAGUCGAACGGAAAGGCCCUGCUUUUGUGGGGUGCUCGAGUGGCGAACGGGUGAGUAACACGUGAGUAACCUGCCCUUGACUUUGGGAUAACUUCAGGAAACUGGGGCUAAUACCGGAUAGGAGCUCCUGCUGCAUGGUGGGGGUUGGAAAGUUUCGGCGGUUGGGGAUGGACUCGCGGCUUAUCAGCUUGUUGGUGGGGUAGUGGCUUACCAAGGCUUUGACGGGUAGCCGGCCUGCGAGGGUGACCGGCCACAUGGGGACUGAGAGACGGCCCAGACUCCUACGGGAGGCAGCAGUGGGGAAUAUUGCACAAUGGGCGGAAGCCUGAUGCAGCAACGCCGCGUGCGGGAUGACAGCCUUCGGGUUGUAAACCGCUUUCGCCUGUGACGAAGCGUGAGUGACGGUAAUGGGUAAAGAAGCACCGGCUAACUACGUG
rnacentral:rRNA from 1 species